rnacentral:rRNA from 1 species
GAUGAACGCUAGCGGCAGGCUUAAUACAUGCAAGUCAAGGGGGUAGCAAUACUACCGGCGCACGGGUGAGUAACACGUACAUAACAUACCAUAUACUGGGGGUAUAGCUUUGGGGAAACUGAAGGUAAUCCCCCAUAACAUUGCGAGAGGGCAUCUGAUUGCAAUUAAAGUUUCGACGGUAUAUGAUUGAUGUGCGUUUGAUUAGCUUGUUGGUAGGGUAACGGCCUACCAAGGCGACGAUCAAUAGCUGGCGUGAGAGCGCGACCAGCCACACUGGAACUGAGACACGGUCCAGACUCCUACGGGAGGCAGCAGUAGGGAAUAUUGGACAAUGGGCGAAAGCCUGAUCCAGCCAUGCCGCGUGAUAGAUGAA